CCUACGGGAGGCUGCAGUGAGGAAUAUUGGUCAAUGGACGGAAGUCUGAACCAGCCAAGCCGCGUGCAGGACGACGGCCCUAUGAGUUGUAAACUGCUUUUGUCCGAGGAUAAAAUCAGGCACGCGUAUCUGUCUGAAGGUACCGUAAGAAUAAGGAUCGGCUAACUCCGUGCCAGCAGCCGCGGUAAUCCGGAGGAUUCGAGCGUUAUCCGGAUUUAUUGGGGUUAAAGGGUGCGGAGGCGGGCCGUUAAGUCAGCGGUAAAAUCCCGGGGCUCAACUUCGGCCUGGCCGUUGAAACUGGUCGGCUUGAGAGUAGGUGAGGUAGGCGGAAUGUGUGGUGUAGCGGUGAAAUGCUUAGAGAU
rnacentral:rRNA from 1 species